rnacentral:misc_RNA from 1 species
GAAGUGCGAUAAGCAAUGCGAAUUGCAGAAUUCCGCGAGUCAUCAGAUCUUUGAACGCAAAUGGCGCCGGAGGGAUAUCCUUCUGGCAUGUCUGUUUCAGUGUCUGAGAGGUUUCACCAACAUCUUAAUGUGAUUGACAGCAGCAGCAGCAAGCAAUUGUUGUGGUUGGUGUUGUCUCUCAUGAAAGAUGCGCGAGUGGAUCUUUCGGUCCAAUGAAGUGGUCACAUCACUCGUAUGUGAUUUCAUUGGGAGCACCGAAUUAUCCGCCAUGCUCGCGGUGUCAUCAUAUAAUAUAUGACGAAAGCAAGAAAGAAAGAAAGAGCUUCUUUCUUCUUCUUCUUCUUUGGUUGUAUUUUUUUUCUCUCUCUACACCCUGCAUCUGAGAUAGGCAAGAUCACCCGCUGAACUUAAGC